rnacentral:rRNA from 1 species
AGUGAACGCUGGCGGCAGGCCUAACACAUGCAAGUCGAACGAACGCACCGGGGUUAGUUGCGGAUGGGCGUGGCGAACGUGGGAACGGUCCUUUAUGUUCCGAAUAACUCUGUGAAACUGGUGCUAAUGCAGAAUGUGCUCUUCUGGGGCAAGAUAUAUAGCAUUUAGAGGGGCCCGCGUUCGAUUAGCUAGUUGGGUGAGGUAAUGGCUCAUCAAGGCUACGAUCAUUAGUGGGUCAGUGAGGAUGAUCCGCCACAUUGGUACUUGGACGCGGCCCAGACUCCUGCGGGAGGCAGCAGUGGGGGAUCUAGCGCAAUGGGGGAAGGCAUGAAGCAGCCAUGCCGCGAGAAUGAUGAAGGUCGUAGGAUUGUAAAAUUGUUUCACCGGGGACGAUAAUGACGGUACCCAGAGAAGAAGCCCCGGCUAACUUCGUG